UCAGAGCAAUAAUCUGUGGAAUUAACACCAGAAAAAAGGAAACUAUAUUACAUCUCCAAAGUUUAAAGUACAUAGUUCUGUUGCAUGCUAAAAACCUCUUCUCCUCUGCAUCUACUGGAUUGGAGGAGAUAACAAUAAAACCAUAUUGCAGCCAAUAACAUAGGCAGAGACAGUAAUAGAAAAUGGUAGAAUUAGCGCAUUGAAUGAAAAAUGCAAGGUUUGAAUAGGCACACAAUUCUAUCCAUUGCACUAAUAACGAAAGGCAUUACAUCACGAUAAUAUUGUUCAAACUAGACAACCAACAACCUAACAUUGAUUCUGCUAAAGCUAACACUGCUAACACAAACAAAAGAUUUGAUAUAACUAAACACAAAUGCACCGCCAAUCAAGCCGGCCCCUUGCCCUUGGUGUUCCACUCGAUUCUUGAAUUUCCCGUUCAGAUCGUCACGUUCACAGAAAUGUGGAGUUCUUGUUCAUCAUUUAGCCGAACUUGCGACUGAAAUAUGCGGGACAUAUCAUCAACUGAAUCUAUCGGAUUCGGCUUCGGAAACAUAACACCAACAUUCUUGGCUUUGCCGCUUGAUUCCCCUUCUUUGCACCACUCCCAGAAACCACAUUUAAGACUGCAACAUUUGAAGAAUUUGCCUUUGUUGGCUGUAGCCCAUUCUACCUCAAACCACUUCUGAAAACCUUGGUUACACAUUGGACAUUGGACUUUUAUCGGGCAUUCAGCAAAAAAGUGGGCUUUACUCCUACAGCUGUGACAUACUCUGGAGUUCUUUCCUGGCAUUCUACAAUGGGAAUGAAACACCAAAAACAUAAAGUUAUACGAUGCAUAAAGUUAUUCUUUACAUUAAUCAAGUCUCAGCUAUACACUUUGGAACAUUUAUAUAGUUUCGAACAUUAAUGAAGUCAUAGCUAUGAAGCAUUUCGAGCCCAUAACCGUUUUGAACAAAACUACAAAAUUUAUGCACUUUGGAACAUGAAUCAAGUCUCAGCUAUAGAUAUUUUGGGAUACAAGAAUAAUAUUAACAAUCCACCACAUUCACUCAUCACACUAACAACGAAAUUUAUACAAUAGCCAGAACAAUUCUUCAAGAACCACUUGUAUAAAAAAACAUAGUUUCGAAAGGAAGUCCGAAAGCCGAACUCAUCCAAAACAGGAAAAUUUCCCAAAAGUUUAACUGACCCAGAUAAUCUUCAACAAGAACAAUAACAAAAUUCGUGUUGAAUGCUAGUGUGUAGUACAUCAAAUGGCACCUUAAAGUUGUUCAAACCAUGUACCUUCCUAUCAAGCCCCUUUCCUUAAUAUUUUCGUCGAAUUGAUACUUCAAACCAAAAAAUUGCUACUGCCGUUCACGACAAUUGGGGAAAAUUUGAGAGAGGGCUUUUUCUUCUAGCGUGGCGCCGGAAACCCUCUGACGAUUCACCAGAAAUUUAUAUACAAUAGCCAUUCACGACAAAAGGGGAAAUUUUGAGAGAGGGGUUUUUCUUUCUAGCGUGUGUUUCGUCUCCUGUAAGAGUGAAAAUAAGUACGAGUUAAAAUAAGUAAGAGUUAAAAUAAAAACUUUAUUUGAAAAUGCUCUUUUCCUUUUUUGCCCUUCCAGCUCAGAUUGUAAGUCCACAUUGUAAGUGGACAUUGUACAAGUAGCAUUGUUGAUUGUCGGAUAAAUGACAUUAGAAUUAGAGAUCCAAGG
rnacentral:lncRNA from 1 species